rnacentral:rRNA from 1 species
CAGCAGCCACGGUAAUACGUAGGUGGCAAGCGUUGUCCGGAAUUAUUGGGCGUAAAGGGCUCGCAGGCGGUUUCUUAAGUCUGAUGUAAAAGCCCCCGGCCCAACCGGGGAGGGUCAUUGGAAACUGGGAAACUUGAGUGCAGAAGAGGAGAGUGGAAUUCCACGUGUAGCGGUGAAAUGCGUAGAGAUGUGGAGGAACACCAGUGGCGAAGGCGACUCUCUGGUCUGUAACUGACGCUGAGGAGCGAAAGCGUGGGGAGCGAACAGGAUUAGAUACCCGUGUAGUCCCUGUCUCUUAUAC